CCGAGUUAGGGUCUUCUCAGGCCCGAUCUCCCAACCCUUUGUCGAACUUACCACUUGUUGCUUCGGCGGGCCCGUCCCCUCUCGGGGGGGCCGCCGGAGGGCCGUCAAACGCCCGCGCCCGUCGACAGCCCAACAUUAAACUCUGAACAAAACGUGUCACGAUCUGAGUAUCUAUAAAAAUAAAGCAAA
rnacentral:misc_RNA from 1 species